AGCAAACGCGGUAAGUACCCCGCCUGGGGAAUACGGCCGCAAGGCUAAAACUCAAAAGAAUUGACGGGGGCCCGCACAAGCGGUGGAGCAUGUGGUUUAAUUCGACGCAACGCGAAGAACCUUACCAGGGCUUGACAUCCCGUGACGUUUAUAGAAAUAUAAAUUUCCUUCGGGACACGGAGACAGCUGGUGCAUGGUUGUCGUCAGCUCGUGUCGUGAGAUGUUGGGUUAAGUCCCGCAACGAGCGCAACCCUUAUCGUAUGUUACCAGCACCUAGGGUGGGGACUCAUACGAGACUGCCGGUGAUAAACCGGAGGAAGGUGGGGAUCACGUCAAAUCAUCAUGCCCCUUAUGCUCUGGGCUACACACGUGCUACAAUGGCCGAUACAGAGGGCAGCGAAGCCGCGAGGUGGAGCAAAUCUUAUAAAGUCGGUCCAAGUUCGGAUUGCAGCAUGCAACUCGCCUGCAUGAAGUCGGAAUCGCUACUCAUCUCAGGUCAGCAUACUGCGGUGAUACAUUCACGGGCAUUGUACACACCGCCCGUCACACCACGAA
rnacentral:rRNA from 1 species